GAUGAACGCUGGCGGCGUGCCUAAUACAUGCAAGUCGAGCGAACGGACGAGAAGCUUGCUUCUCUGAUGUUAGCGGCGGACGGGUGAGUAACACGUGGAUAACCUACCUAUAAGACUGGGAUAACUUCGGGAAACCGGAGCUAAUACCGGAUAAUAUUUUGAACCGCAUGGUUCAAAAGUGAAAGACGGUCUUGCUGUCACUUAUAGAUGGAUCCGCGCUGCUUUAGCUAGUUGGUAAGGUAACGGCUUACCAAGGCAACGAUGCAUAGCCGACCUGAGAGGGUGAUCGGCCACACUGGAACUGAGACACGGUCCAGACUCCUACGGGAGGCAGCAGUAGGGAAUCUUCCGCAAUGGGCGAAAGCCUGACGGAGCAACGCCGCGUGAGUGAUGAAGGUCUUCGGAUCGUAAAACUCUGUUAUUAGGGAAGAACAUAUGUGUAAGUAACUGUGCACAUCUUGACGGUACCUAAUCAGAAAGCCACGGCUAACUACGU
rnacentral:rRNA from 1 species